rnacentral:rRNA from 1 species
UGUUCUAACUUCGGUUGGAAUGAUGGCGAGUGGCGGACGGGUGAGUAACGCGUAGGAAUCUACCUAGGAGUGGGGGAUAACUCGAGGAAACUCGAGCUAAUACCGCAUACGCUCUACGGAGGAAAGCUGGGGACCUUUGGGCCUGGCGCUUUUAGAUGAGCCUGCGUCAGAUUAGCUAGUUGGUAGGGUAAUGGCCUACCAAGGCGACGAUCUGUAGCUGAUUUGAGAGGAUGAUCAGCCACACUGGGACUGAGACACGGCCCAGACUCCUACGGGAGGCAGCAGUGGGGAAUUUUGGACAAUGGGCGAAAGCCUGAUCCAGCAAUGCCGCGUGUGCGAUGACGGCCUUCGGGUUGUAAAGCACUUUCAGUUGUGAAGAAAUGUGCACGGUUAAUACCCGUGUAAGCUGACGUUAACAACAAAAGAAGCACCGGCUAACUCUGUGCCAGCAGCCGCGGUAAUACAGAGGGUGCGAGCGUUAAUCGGAAUUACUGGGCGUAAAGAGCGCGUAGGUGGUCUACUAAGUCAUGUGUGAAAGCCCUGAGCUUAACUUAGGAAUUGCAUGUGAUACUGGUAGUCUAGAGUAUGGUAGAGGGAAGU